CCUACGGGAGGCAGCAGUGAGGAAUAUUGGUCAAUGGGCGGGAGCCUGAACCAGCCAAGUAGCGUGAAGGAUGACAGCCCUAUGGGUUUUAAACUUCUUUUAUAAGGGAAUAAAGUGCCCCACGUGGGGGGGUUUGUAUGUACCUUAUGAAUAAGGAUCGGCUAACUCCGUGCCAGCAGCCGCGGUAAUACGGAGGAUCCGAGCGUUAUCCGGAUUUAUUGGGUUUAAAGGGAGCGUAGAUGGGUUGUUAAGUCAGUUGUGAAAGUUUGCGGCUCAACCGUAAAAUUGCAAUUGAUACUGGCAGCCUUGAGUACAGUUGAGGUAGGCGGAAUUCGUGGUGUAGCGGUGAAAUGCUUAGAUAUCACGAAGAACUCCGAUUGCGAAGGCAGCUUACUAAACUGCCACUGACAUUGAUGCUCGAAAGUGUGGGUAUCAAACAGGAUUAGAUACCCCUGUAGUC
rnacentral:rRNA from 1 species